UUUUUAAGCUACUUUUAAAUCUCAAUAGCAAAACUAACUAUUCGUCUGUAAUGCAGUUAAUUCGGUCAACAGUGAGUUGAGAACCUUCAUGUGAGAGGAUUUUUCGCAAAAAGUGAGGCCAAAACUUUUUAACACAAACUUGGUCCUACAAGCACUAUAAUUUGCUGACAAACAACCUGAUCUGUGUAAUGGUCAAUGAUAUGGCUGGGAUGAAUUCAUUCAAUGAUAAUUUGUGGAUGUUGCCGCAAUUACAUUGGUAUAAAAGUAGGUUCAGUGCUUUAAAUGCCUCCAGGUCGCUAGAAUUCGGAAGCAGUUUUUUCAAAUGGCCUCUGUUUUAAAAAACAUCAAAGGAACGUGCGAAAAUUUGACAAGGUUUCUUCCUAAUAAAAGGAGAUCUCUGAGGACAGCAGUCACUAGUGGACGAAAGCUGCACGAAGGCAGCGAAUGGAAGGGUCAUGCCACAUGGGAAUUAUGAAAAUAUUCAGCUCGCAGUGAUUGGCAACCUGCAACAGCAGCUCGAAGCAAAAGGCACCCCAUUCCAGGAGAGCACCGAUCUUACAGCCAGACACUUUACCCCUAGCAGCAAAACCUUGAAUGAGACCUGCGUGCAUUUCUUCAAACGACUCUUUAUACAAUUCAACAUUCUCCAAAUCUCAAGCUCAAAUGCAGGUCCGAAAUCUCCACUCAGAUGGAGGAUAAAUUGUUCAACCCAUCCAAAUGCUUGCAAAUGUUUUGAUAAAAAUUUACUUCAACCAGGACAAGCACAUCCUCUCGCAGCUCCAUGUUGCAGAGCAAUUCCCCUGAUUUGUUUCAAGUAACAGCCAGCUCCUGGUACUCUCUCAAAAACGUGAUCGUAUCAUUAUUUCGAUCGCUCAAAUCUGCAGUGAUCUGAUAACAGGCAUUCAAUACUCUUAAAUAUAACCAAGGCUGAAAUCCGGCUCUUAGCCGAACCUCACAACCAGUUUGGGUUUUUUGCAAACCAAACUGGAUAAUGAACCGAACCACUCUCUCAAAGAAAAUAAUUAAAUACAUUUUUUGAAUUUCUGAUUAAAAGUCAUAUAAAUACAUUUUUUGAAUUUCUUA